GCUGGGCGUGGCAGCUCACACCUGUAAUCCCAGUGGCUCGGGAGGCUGAGGCAGGAGGAUUGUGAGUUCAAAGCCACCCUCAGCAAAAAGGGAGGUGCUAAGCAAUUCAGUGAGACCCUGUCUCUA
rnacentral:sRNA from 1 species